rnacentral:lncRNA from 11 species
GGCUUCCCAGUAAACCACGCCGAGGCUGGAGCCCUUCCUUGGUGAUUCUCAAAGGGGCAGCUGGAAUCCAUCGCAGGAAAGACAGCCGCAGAGUUGGGCCAAAUAUCUCUUGGAGAAAAAAACGAUAAACCCCUCGCAAAGGAGGGAAACGGACUCCUGAUCCGCGAAGACUUCUUCUUCCACAACUCCCUCCCUGCUCCUUUUCUUCACGCUCUGAAGGGCCUAAAGGGCGCUCCAUGUUCCUCUUAGAAGCCGCAACCAACUCCAGUCAAGCUCUCCUGGGUGAACCUAGUCCGGGGACGUGGUCUUGCCAGCCUAGCUAAGCUAU